rnacentral:lncRNA from 1 species
GAUUAGGUAACUACACAGUACCACAGGAUCAACCGAAUCAUAAUUCACACGAUGCACGCCCACAAACCCAUCACCUAGUAUGUGAGUCACCUCAACUCCAAACACAUAACACGUAUAUUUAGGGGUUCAAACACUUAACACCAAGUUUAGAAGUGUUACUUACCUCGAACAAGCAAGAUCCAAUAUCGAGCAAGCCACACAGUACUCUAGAAAUGCCACCUCGCACGCAUAAACCUCCGAACGACUCAAUACUAGCCAAAAGCAAUACAAGAACAUCAAAUAAUUCCAAAGGAAACAAACCCAAUUGAUAAAGGUCAAAUCUUUAAUCAAAAUUCCAAAGUUAACAAAAAAAGUCAAAACUGAGCCCGCACCUCAAAACCUGACAAAACUCACAAAAUCUGACAACCCAUUCAAUUACGAGUCCAACCAUACUAGUUUCACUCAAAUCCGACUCUGAAUCGAUGAUCAAAAUUCGAAAAUUCACUCUAUGAAACUUUAGACAAAACCCCCAAUUUCUCUUUUGAAAUCAUCAACCAAAUGUAACGACCCGAUCAGUCAUUUUGAGCUCUAGAGCAUUUUUUUGGUAAUUUGAGGCCUUGAGUAGCUUCCCUUCAUAUUUUAUGACUUGUACGUGUGGUUGGAAUUGAAUUUCGGGAAGUUCAGAGUUGUUUCGAAAAGAAGAUUCUCAAUUCGGAAGCUUUAAGUUGGAAGAGUUAACUAAGAUUUGACUUUUGAGUAAACGACCUCGGAAUUGAGAUUUGAAGGUUCCAAUAGGUUCAUAUGAUGAUUUCUUGCUUGGGCAUAUGUUCGUAUUGAGUAUCGGGUGGCCCGGGAGAAUUUCGACGCCUAUUAUGGAACGUUUGCAUUUCUGAAAGUUUAAGAAUUUCUUAAGUUUGAAUUAAAAUGAAUUUUGGUGUUAUCGAUGUCCAUUCGGGGUUCUGAGCCCUGAAAUAGGUUUGUAAUGUGAUUUAUUAAUUGCACAUAAAAUUUGGCAUCAUUCCAGGAUGUUUAAGCAUAAUUGGGACGCGUUCGUCGAAGUUUAAAAAUUUCUCAACCAAUCCAAACUCAAAUCGCAAUAGCUAUAACCCACUGGUAGAAAAGAAACCCUCCUCACAACAUCAUAAGAAUCACACCUAUGUAGAUUACCCUGCAGGUUAUAACCCACAUGCUUAGCCUCAAACUGUCAUCUCUCUAUACCCUUUCACAGCCACAACUACUACGCAAUCACUGAAUCUUUCUGAGUCUAAACUCAUCAAUAAGACAUGAGAAUCUAAUUCGUUCCAUAAUUUAUCAACAUGAAAGAUUAUUCAACACACUCAUAACUCGAGACUAUAUGUCAUAUCAAGACAAAAAUCAAGCACCCAAUAGUCCUUUUUUACAUCUCAUGCAAACUCUUCUCGUCACAUUCGAACUAUCUAAAAUAGCCCGUAGUCAGAUCAUACUCAUCAUUUAGUCAUCCAACCACUCAUCGAGCCACCAACUCCACUCAUAGGGACACAACUGGACAUAGAAGUCCAAAAGCACAUGCUCACGCAACUGAAACUGCCGAGCCUAAGUUGCGAUCCAAACCCAGCCUCAAGUCCUUUAGACUGGCCCAUCACCAAAGCACAGGAAACACAUCUCUCACCUCAUCCAUGGAAUUCCACAAGCCGUCGAUGUACAACUGAUAUUGAGCGCUCAAAUGCGCAUACGAGUGAGUAGAAGGAAUUCAAAGAGAUAUGCUUCAAGCUUAAUCAAUGUCGCACGAUAAGGAAAGAAAGAUGGGAAGUUUAUCCUAAAUGCCUUGUAGCCUCUCGAAGAUAGGUAUGGAGGUCAUCAUACCAAUCCGCAAGACUCUACUAGACACUUGCUCAUGACUCGUAGAACCUAUGAACCUAGAGCUCUGAUACCAACUUGUCACAACCCAAAAUCCAACUAGUCGUGAUGGCACCUAACCCAACCCGCUAGGUAAGCCAAUUAGCAGCUAUCUAAUUCAAAAGAGAUCUACUGAGAGAAAUACAGAUAAUUUAACUGAACUCUCAUACAAGGAAUUUCCCAAGGACUGGUAGUACAAAUCAUGAGCUUCUAAGAUUUAGAGUUUACAAAGCUGAUAUGAAACAAAUGCAUCAUCUGUUUGAAAUAUACAUGAAUAGAUUUAAAAUGCUAAAGCUACCAAGAACAAGAGGCAGCUAUAAAAGGAACGCAGGUACAUCUUCAAUUCCAGCUCCCGCCAUACACAACAACAUCAACAUCCCAAAUCUGCACGCAAGGUGCAGAAAUGUAGUAUGAGUACUACCGAUCCCAUGUACUCAAUAACUUACAGUGACGAGCUUGGACAAAGGUCAGAGUCCAACACCAAUAGUCAAGAAUAAUUUGUAACAAUAUAAGAAAAACAGUACAUGUAAUGACUCAAAAAUAUGAUGCCCAGCUCGUUCACAGUUACGGAAAAUAGUCAUGCUUUUCAGGUAUAACAGUAAAACCCAAAUCUUUCACCGAAAUUACCAAAGUAUGAGUAAGUCAGAAAAAACUGUGAUUUUUUCCAAAAUCUAUGUAAAAGAACAUAUAUAGAGCUAACUAAUAGUUUAAUUGAAAUAAAAAUUAGUUCAAAAAAAGGUCAGAAGUACAUGCAAUUUCAUUCCACUUGAGUUCAGAAAAGAUACAAAAUCUCUACCCAUGAGUUGCCUACUUUACUCGCAAAUACAUGCAAUCUCAGUUUCGAUGAAUACUAAGGAUCUUGCAUUCUGAUGACAAGAAUAUUCACUUUUUUAAUAUGACCACAGAGGACAUCAAGGACUUGAAAAGAUUCCUAGAAAGCAUCUCAAAACUACAUGUUCUGACCAUUACUUAAAGAAUACAAUUUGAAGGAAGAAAAGAGAUCAUGAAAGACAUAGAGUUUUCUCCUACUUCAACAAUAACCAAUAACCAAUAAUCAGUUACAAGAAUACAUAGCUUAGAAUUCCUUUUUUUUUCUUUUCUAUUCUUCUAUUAUAAAGUAACACCCUUAGGCCAUAACUGGUUUUGGCAUCACCUUAUCUCCCUCAGCUUUCCAUACAAAUAUUAGACACCUAUUAGCUCCACUCUCACUUCUAUUUCAGACUAGUGGAUAACCAGAUACAUUUUCUACAAAGUAUUAACACAUGGCAAAGUAUUUCCAUCAAAUACAACCAAUAAGUAAGCAGUAAUUUGCUAAAUCUUCUUCUCUCUAACUCAAAAAAUUUAACACUGAAAAACAAACAGAUUCUCAGAUGUAGAAAUAAAAAAUAUAAAGAAAUAAAUAUGAGAAUGAAAUAGCAGAAAUGAAAAAACAGAGAUAACAAUUUGUAGUUGGUGGCUACAAUAGGGAUUGAACUGGAACAGAAAAUACUUUAGGCAGAGCAGGUUUUUUUUUUCUUAACAGAUAAAAGAAAAUUUGUAGCAACAAAAGGUACCGCUCCAAUUUCUAUUCUACCAGUACAGAACAUCAACCUGCCAAAACCAUACAAACACGAUGAACAACUUAAGCCCUCACUCUCUUCAAGCUUACCACUGGUUUUAGCAGUUGUGCAAAAAGCAAAAUUACAAUAUUACAAAGAUUAAAACAUACGGGGUAAGACUAAACCGAAGAAUUGAAGGCCCUGUAAGGAAUUGGAGAAAUACUGAAAGCCGACUCACCUCGAGUCAGUCAGACAUCCAUAUAAUGCAGAAUGAGGAGAUAAAAACGGAAGUGAAAAUUCCUCUUUGUUGAGUUAUGCAAAAAAUAUUGGCAUAUGCCAGAAUUGGAAAACAUUGGUCUUAAAAAGCCAUAUCUGUGUGAAAAUCAAAAGAAAAAAAAAAAAAGGAAUCAUAAGAGUUCUGCAACAAUUUGUCAAAGCGAUAAGCUCAUCAUAGUGAAUAAGGAAAGAAAACUCUACCUUUGAUGUUUUCGGGAUUCAAAUAAAAUUCUCGAUUUCAUCCACUGAGAACCUGAUGCAAGGAGCCCCAUCUGUUAAGUAAGAUAACUCAUAUGCUUCUUUUUAUCGAAAGCACUCUCUUGAAUUCCUGGAACAUCCUCUUCCUUCGCUAAACCAUCUUCUAAUGCUAGAGAACCAAUCUCAUGCUUAUCCCCAGUGAGAGGGCUUGUAGAAAGAAUGUGAUCCCAGAAAAUGUCAUUAAUGCCUGGAAGCUUAGGCAUCUCGUCAAAAAAGACAUCAAUAUCAGUAUCUGUGGAAAAUCUAUCAGGGACAACUGAUGUUACACCAUCCACAAUGCCUUGCAUUCUGUCAAUGUCUGGCAAAUCCCCAGUUCCCGACCGCUUAAGGUCAGUUAUUCCAAAAUUGUCCAGUAUAUUUAUCCCAUGUCCUUCUGAAACUUCAGGCAGAACAUGGUCUAUCUGAAAGUUAAGUGCAUUUAAACCAGGAAAGUGAGGGACUUUGGCUUCCCCAGGAAUCAGACCAGGGGAAUAUUGGAUCUCAGGAAUGGCAGAUAAAUUAGAGUUGAAUGGAAAUCCUGAAUCCGACGUCAGAUGAGAUUGUGAAGAAGUUGGCAGUUGUGGAAGGGUAACCCCAGAAAUAUGACUGCAUAUACCAGCACUGUCUAAUGUAUUUUCGAAAGCAUGGCCAUGACUAGUCAAAAAACCAUUUGUAUUCUUAACUUUGGUUUCCAGCCAACCAGAUGCAUUAGUUUUCAGGAUCUUCUGCAGCAAUGCUUUUGCUGCCUCAUUCAUUAAAGGCUGGUAACGGACUAUCUGCCUGUCAUGCAAAGUACUGACAGGCUUGCCUGCAUAAAUUUCUUCUUCCUGGUUGGGAAAUCUCCUCUUCUUUUUCAUCCCAUGAAUGCGCCUGUUACCUUCAUUGUGUUGAUGAAUAAGCUCGGCUAUAAAGCCAGGGCUCUGCAAGGCCUUAGCAAGGAAUGACAUGGUUUGCUGUUCUCUUUGCUCCAUUAAAUGAAGACGCUGCCCAACAUUCUCUAAGCAGUGGUCUGUUGCCUGCUGCUGCUGUUUCAACUUGACUAGCUCCUCCAUAUGAAUACUUUUAUCUCUUUUAAGCCUUUCAACCUCUUCUUCUAUUCCAAACUUCCCAACUUCAACACAAGAUUCAACAGAUACACUUUGCACUUGGGAGGCGGUGUCCUGAUGGACCUGCAUUUGAGAUGGUUUUCGCCUACUUAUGGUCUUCAACAGGUGUUUGUGGCCUCUAAGGAAUCCCUCAUUUGCAAAUUCCCAGCAGUCUGGAUCAACCUUCCUGUAACCCUGGUUGAUGAAAGGGCAGAGCAAAUUGUAAAAAAGGAUUAAGGUUGCCCAAUAUAUACAAAGAGUACUUAUAACCAAAACACAAAGAUAACAGCGAGUGACAAAACUGUAUAAACUGCAAUACACAAGAAAAUUAUUCCCUCAUCGUGAUUAAAAGAGACUCCCAUCUCCCAUCGUCCCAUCAUCGAUUUAUUGCUUUGAACCUUGAAACAUGGAAAAAAUGGUUAAAAUGUCACAUGGUUACACUACAUGUGAUGCCUUGAAAUCAGUAAUAAUGCAGACAUGAUUAGCAAUGAUCAGAAUGUUAGGAUUAGAGAUUCUUAGGAACAGAAUCAUGUGACAAACAAAUAAGAGGAGGUUAGUGAGUGGCAAACGGGAUUGAGCAGGAGAGCAAGAUUAGCGACCGGGUAAAGUUCCCUUUAUUGUAGGGUAACUUUUAUACCAUGGAGGUGGGGCAGUAGGUGGCGAGACCUGGGGGGUUAAUGUGUGCCGGAUAGGAUAGAGGGGAGAGAUAGAAAUAGCAAAGGGGAAAAGAUCACCCCUUUACCUCAUGGCACACUUUUUGACCCACCUUUACCGUGGAAUACAGUUAUACCAUGAGAAAGAAUGAUAAGCCCCUAAACAAAGCUUCCCAAAACACACCAAACACUGAAAUUAAUUUAAAACAAACGCUGCCCCUAAACAUAAACUUGAGAUUAAAUCAGGUUUAUCAACUCUACAACUGCUUCUUGAAUUAAAGUAACAGUCCUCAAUUUGCUAUAUCCCUGAUGAGACCCUACCAAAUAAUUUUCUAAUAAAAAGGGAAUAAGCUUUCAAAUCAAAGUGUUUACUGAUAUUUUAGCACCAAAGACAACUUCUGAUUUGAUUUAAACAAGCGUGUGGCUUGUGCAUAUGGGAUCAGAGAGCUUCUCAUUAACUCUUAAUAAAAAAUCAAACUGCCAAGCUGAAUUGAAGGAAGGACAAGUACCCCAUUGAACUGAAUCCAUUCAAUAAUAUUCUGAAAAUAAUGUACUAAAUCAGAUGAAACUUCAUAUUAUAUUCCAAUUAGAGAGAAAGUUUUGCCUAUUUGCUCGAGUUUGCUGCAUCUUUCCAACUCAAUGUACUACUUAUAUACAAUCAAUUUCAAAUAGAAUACUUGUAAAUUUUUUUAGAAGAGGAUAUAAAGAAAUAGAAAACAAAUAAGCGUAUAUCAUAGUGACAGCUAGAAACACAAGCGACCUAAGUAAAAACAUUUAAAACAAUGAGCAGAGAAAAUCUAUACAUACUCAGAAACAUAACGAUAUUUUUAAAAAAGCAACAAUCUUAUGUGCCUCAAUCCAAAUUGGCGAAUUUCAGAAACAAAUUCAAUAUUAGAAAAAAUGUUUUUCUUAUAGGGUUUAAGCAAAUUGUUGCAGACACCAACCUCACAAGCAAACGCAUAAACCGAAAUAGUGGAAUAAAGAGCGAAAAAACAAAGAGGAAUUUUAAUACUUACAUAAGUAUUCAACUGCCUAACAAAGCUGGAGAAAUUAUUGUGCUUAAAAUACUUGGGCAAAAUAUCUCUCGAAAACUCCAGCACGUUCCAGACGACGAAGCUGUUAUUACUCUUACUCCAAGACACCACUGAAUCGGUCGACAAAUCGUCCACCAUCUCAUACGUCUUGCACAGAAAAGGCGGUGGCGAAUUUCCUAUCUCAUGAAUUGCUUCCAUUUUUGGCCACUCAAAAUCGGACGCCGAUCUUCUGAAGGUACUCUGGGAUUCUAUAUUCUCAAUUACUAAUUUGACGUAUUAAAAUUAGUAUAUAAUGUAUAAUUCGAAAAUAUGUUUUUAUUAGCUUUUAAAUAGAAUAAAAAGUUUUUUAAUUGUUAUUACAAGGAUUAGUUUUGUAAUUUUAGUUGUUUUAAUCUGUUUAUUGUUAAAUGUUAGAGAAAAUUAUCAAAAUGGUCCUUAAUGUAUAAGGGUUGAAAUAUUUUGGUCCUUGAUAUAUACCAUUUAAUAGGAAUAGUUCUUAAUGUAUACAAAAGGUAAUUUAUGUUAAAUUUAACCUCAAUCCCUAAAAAGCAAAGCCUAGCAAACCCCUUUGCCCCUAUCUUCUAUCUUUUACCGUGCCAAGCUCUCGAUAAAAAGAAAACUCAGCUCGCAUCUCUUCCACUAUUUCUAUUACUACCAAAAUACCCAUUUCAAACAACCAAAGUUUUUACACAUGACUGAUAUGUUGAAUGGAAGAAAAUAUCAAGAACAAGAGUGAACCCAUAUGAUAUAUCCUUGUAUUUAAAGGUCAAAACUUAUUUUUGCACAACAGCUACGAAGCAACUUGGACAAGACGAUUUUAACUGUCCAUGUUGAAAUCUUGUCAAGCAACAUUACUGGUUGCAUAUCACGAAUUGGCCCAUCACCUCUUCUUCGACUAUAUUACUAGUCCUAUAAUGGCUAGAAUUUUCUGGUUCACCAUUAUUCUGCUUCUUUGAAUCUUUCCUAGUAAGAAAACAAUUCAAACUUCAUCAAGAUACAAAGCAAAAGUUUAGAAUUCUAUACCACAUUGAAAACUAUUCUCUUAAGACUUAAUGAAAUUAAAUUGGUUUUCCAAACUUGGAAUACUAUAGAGAAUAUAUUUCAUGAUCCAUCGCUCAAGCAUUAGAUUCAAGUUUAUGUAUCUCUAGUUGCAAAAUUAUAAAUCAAACUGAAAUUUUAACAAAUGAAGUGAUUAAAACAGAUUCGCAAGUAAAUUCAAACAAGAAAAUAAGGAUUUCCAUUUAUAAAAUCCAUAAGACUAACAAGCAAAACAAUUUAGCUUCCCAAGAUCCAUUCUUGUUUGAGAGAGGGUUUGGAUUUAAGGUCGUUAAUGGUGAAUGAGAGAAGAGGAGGGAGUCGGGAGAGAUUGGGGUGAAGUUUAACAGAAUAUUUUGUUUUCUACUGUUAGUUUUAGGGAUGAGGACCAAAGCUAUCACUUUUUGUAUACAUUAAGGACUAUUCUUAUUAAGUGGUAUAUAUCAAGGACCAAAAUAUUUCAACCCAUAUACAUUAAGGACCAUUUUGAUCAUUUCCUCUUAAUUGUUACAAGGAUUAGUUUUGUAAUUUUAGUUGUUUUCAUCUGUGUAUUGCCAAUACUCUCAUUUUUAUUUAGUGUUUCAUCUAGCAUAAAAUAAGUACAGAAUUUUCUCUAUAACAAUAUACCCAGUAUAUUCUUAAAUGUGGGUCUGCGAAGGGUAGUGCAUGCGCACACCUUGCCCUUACUUUGUGCAGGUGGAGAACCUAUUUCCUAUAGACCUUCGGCUCAAGCAAACACAAUCGCAGCAGUAAAGCAAAUUGAAAUAUGAAAAUGGUAGGGAAUCAUAAGAAAAGAAAUAAUAGCGAAAUAGUAAAUAAUCAAAGCAAAAACAACAUUAGAUAAUACUAGAAAUCCAAGAAAAAAGAUAAAACAAGAGUAAUACUACAGCUACCCGAAUGGAAGGAAAGUGAGCUAUAUUACUACUAAACUUCUAUCAUAAUCUUCGACCUCUAUAAUCUCCUAUCAAGAGUCAUGUUCUCAGUCAGCUAAAGAUGCGUCAUGUCCUGCCUAAUCACCUCUCCCCAAUUCUUCUUUGUCCUUCCUCUACCUCUUCUCAGACCCACGAUGUUCAACCUCUCACACCUCCUCACAAGGGCGUCUGGGCAUCUCCUCUUCACAUGUCUGAAUCAUCUCAGCCUUACUUUCUACAUCUUAUCCUCAAUGGGGGCUACCCUCACAUUGUCCCGAAUAACUUUAUUGCUAACUCUAUCUCUCUUAGUAUGCCCACACGUCUAUUUUUAGCAUCUUUAUCUCCGCUACUUUUAACUUCUAGACAUGAGAGUUCUUGACUAGCCAACACUCCGGCCCAUACAAUAUAGUGGACCUAACCACCACUCUAUAGAACUUACUUUUAAGUCUUUAUGGCACGAUCUUAUCACAAGACACCGAAAGCAAAGCCUCUAUUUCAUCUACUCUGCCCCAAUACGAUAUGUAAUAUCCUCGUCAAUCUCCCUGUUGCUCUGGAUUACUAACCCAAGAUACUUGAAACUUUCCUUCUUAGGGAUGGCUUGUGUGUCAAGCCUAACUUCCACUUCAUCUUUAUGGGUUGCGUUAUUGAACUUGCACUCAAUGUAUUCGAUUUUAGUCUUGCUCAGCUUGAAACCUUUAGAUUCCAAAGUCUGUAUUCAAACCUCCAACUUAGUGUUAACUCUAGUUUCGCAUUUCAUCAAUCAGCAUUAUAUCAUCUAUAAAUAACAUGUAUCAUGGUACCUCCUCAUGAAUAUGUUGAGUCAAUAUAUCCAUCGCCAAGGCGAAUAAGAAUGGGCUAAGAGCUGAUCCCUGGUAUAACUCCAUCAUGACAGAGAAGUGUCUCGAGUCUCCUCACACUGCCCUUACCUCGGUCUUAGCUCUAUCAUCUCCUCACACUAUCCUUACCUUGGUCUUAGCUCCAUCAUAUAAUAUUCUUAAGCGCUCUAAUGUAUGGUACAUGGAUACCUCUAGACUCAAAAUGCCUCCAUAAAACUUCUCUUAGGACUUUGUCGUAUGCUUUUUCCACAUCAAUGAACACCAUAUACAAACUCAUUUUCCUUUCCCUAUACUGCUCCAUCAGCCUCCUUAUAAGAUGAAUAGAUUUUAUGGUCGAUCGUCCCGAAUUGAACCCAAACUGAUUUUCGGAGAUAGACACCCUCCUCCUUACCCUCGUCUCUAACAUCCUCUCCCAAACUUUCAUAGUGUGACUUAGCAGCUUGAUACCUAUGUAGUUGUUAUAAUUUUAGAUAUCACCCUUGUUCUUGUAUAUCGGGACCAUCGUACUCCACCUCUAUUUUUUGAGAAUCUUGAAUGUCUUAAGAAUAAUAUUAAAUAAUCGGGUGAGUCAUUUCAAGCCUACAAUACCCGCGCUCUUCCAUAACUCUAUUGAAAUCUCGUCAGGCCUGAUCGCUCUUUCUCUAUUCACACAUAGCCCCCUCAACCUUCUCAGCCUUUAUACACUUACAAAACCCAAAAUAUUAGAAAAUUUUAGAUUAAUUUAAAUCGCCCAGCAUAAUUUUCCUCUUCAUUAUUUAAGAGUUUAUGGAAGUAUGUCUGCCAUCUUCGUCUAAUAUGUGUGUAACGACCUGACCGAUCGUUUUGAGCUCUAGCGAGUCACCCGGUAGUUUAAGGCCUUGAGUAG